GAUGAACGCUGGCGGCGUGCUUAACACAUGCAAGUCGAACGAAGCAAUUUAACGGAAGUUUUCGGAUGGAAGUUAAAUUGACUGAGUGGCGGACGGGUGAGUAACGCGUGGGUAACCUGCCUCAUACAGGGGGAUAACAGUUAGAAAUGACUGCUAAUACCGCAUAAGCGCACAGUAUCGCAUGAUACAGUGUGAAAAACUCCGGUGGUAUGAGAUGGACCCGCGUCUGAUUAGCUAGUUGGUGGGGUAACGGCCUACCAAGGCGACGAUCAGUAGCCGACCUGAGAGGGUGACCGGCCACAUUGGGACUGAGACACGGCCCAAACUCCUACGGGAGGCAGCAGUGGGGAAUAUUGCACAAUGGGCGAAAGCCUGAUGCAGCGACGCCGCGUGAGCGAAGAAGUAUUUCGGUAUGUAAAGCUCUAUCAGCAGGGAAGAAAAAUGACGGUACCUGACUAAGAAGCACCGGCUAAAUACGUGCCAGCCGCCGCAGUAAUAC
rnacentral:rRNA from 1 species